rnacentral:misc_RNA from 1 species
AACGCACCUUGCGCUCCUUGGUAUUCCGAGGAGCAUGCCUGUUUGAGUGUCAUUAAAUUCUCAACCUCACCAAUUUUGUUAUGAAGUUGUGUGCAGGCUUGGAUGUGGGGGUUGCAGGUCCGCUUUGGUGGUCUGCUCCUCUGAAAUGUAUUAGUGGGUUUGGCCCCUAAUCUAUUGGUGUGAUAAUUAUCUACGCCGUGGAUUGGAUGGCUACUAUAGACCUGCUUCUAACCGUCCUUCACCGGACAACUCUUGACAUUUUUGACCUCAAAUCAGGUAAGACUACCCGCUGAACUUAA